rnacentral:rRNA from 10 species
UCGUAACAAGGUUUCCGUAGGUGAACCUGCGGAAGGAUCAUAG